rnacentral:rRNA from 1 species
UACGAAGGGGGCUAGGCGUUGCUCGGAAUCACUGGGCGUAAAGGGUGCGUAGGCGGGUCUUUAAGUCAGGGGUGAAAUCCUGGAGCUCAACUCCAGAACUGCCUUUGAUACUGAGGAUCUUGAGUUCGGGAGAGGUGAGUGGAACUGCGAGUGUAGAGGUGGAAAUUCGUAGAUAUUCGCAAAGAACACCAGUGGCGAAGGCGGCUCACUGGCCCGGUACUGACGCUGAGGUGCGAAAGCGUGGGGAGCAAACAGG